CAGAAACUGACUUCCACGUUACUGUCACAUCAGACCAAGGAGAGAAAGCUGUAAAUAACUGUAGGGUUUUCAGGUCAUCCAGUUACUGGGUUCAUAAACAAUGAAAGUUGAAACUAGACAACUAUAACGGAAACUAACAAUGGAGCUGAACAGAGAAGGAGAAACGCUUUAUAACAGUGAGAGAGACAGUGACAGUCAGGAACUUCAUAGUCGUUCAGUGACAUCUUACGAGCGCACGGAGACAGAUGCAUCUAUGGACCGGGACACCAGUUUUACUAAAGAAGAACCAGAUCAUUCCAACAGUUCACAAGAAAAAGAAAAGAAGAUAAAAAAGAAUGAAGAAGGACAGGAGAAGAAAAACAUGUCUUACAAGUUAAAGGAAAUGAAAGAAAGCAACACCAGACUUAAGGGACAGUUAGAGCAAGUGACUACACAGUUGACUGAAAAGGAAAAGGAGAGCAAUAGACUUAAGGGACAGUUGGAGGAAGUGACUAGAAGGUUGACUGA